UGGGGAAUCUUGCGCAAUGGGCGAAAGCCUGACGCAGCGACGCCGCGUGGGUGAUGAAGGCCUUCGGGUUGUAAAGCCCUGUGGGGAGAGACGAAUAAGUGCGGGCUAAUCACCGCAUGAUGACGGUAUCUCCUUAGCAAGCACCGGCUAACUCUGUGCCAGCAGCCGCGGUACGACAGCGGGUGCCACCGGUGUUCGGAAUUACUGGGCGUAAAGCGUGUGUAGGCGGUCGUGUAAGUCGGGUGUGAA
rnacentral:rRNA from 1 species